AGCUAAGCAUUCUUGGGGGAGAGUAGUACUAGGAUGGGUGACCUCCUAGAAAGUCCUCGUGUUGCAUCCCUCUUUUCUUUUCUUU
rnacentral:sRNA from 1 species